CCUACGGGUGGCAGCAGUGAGGAAUAUUGGUCAAUGGGCGCAAGCCUGAACCAGCCAAGUCGCGUGAGGGAUGACGGUCCUAUGGAUUGUAAACCUCUUUUGUCGGGGAGCAAGGCCCGCCACGUGUGGCGGGAAGGAGAGUACCCGAAGAAAAAGCAUCGGCUAACUCCGUGCCAGCAGCCGCGGUAAUACGGAGGAUGCGAGCGUUAUCCGGAUUUAUUGGGUUUAAAGGGUGCGUAGGUGGUUAAUUAAGUCAGCGGUGAAAGUUUGUGGCUCAACCAUAAAAUUGCCGUUGAAACUGGUUGACUUGUGUAUAUUUGAGGUAGGCGGAAUGCGUGGUGUAGCGGUGAAAUGCAUAGAUAUCACGCAGAACUCCGAUUGCGAAGGCAGCUUACUAAACUAUAACUGACACUGAAGCACGAAAGCGUGGGGAUCAAACAGGAUUAGAUACCCUUGUAGUC
rnacentral:rRNA from 1 species